rnacentral:rRNA from 1 species
AACGAACGCUGGCGGCGUGGAUAAGACAUGCAAGUCGAACGAGAGAAUUGCUAGCUUGCUAAUAAUUCUCUAGUGGCGCACGGGUGAGUAACACGUGAGUAACCUGCCCCCGAGAGCGGGAUAGCCCUGGGAAACUGGGAUUAAUACCGCAUAGAAUCGCAAGAUUAAAGCAGCAAUGCGCUUGGGGAUGGGCUCGCGGCCUAUUAGUUAGUUGGUGAGGUAACGGCUCACCAAGGCGAUGACGGGUAGCCGGUCUGAGAGGAUGUCCGGCCACACUGGAACUGAGACACGGUCCAGACACCUACGGGUGGCAGCAGUCGAGAAUCAUUCACAAUGGGGGAAACCCUGAUGGUGCGACGCCGCGUGGGGGAAUGAAGGUCUUCGGAUUGUAAACCCCUGUC